GGCAUGGUAGGCUCAGUGGUGAGAGCGCCCGCCUCAUGAACGGGAGGCCGUGGGUUCGAUCCCCGGCCGAGUCA
rfam:Strongylocentrotus purpuratus Contig76723_fixed, whole genome shotgun sequence.